ACAGCCACAUCACGUUGAAACACCACUUCCCAGACGAUCAAGGAAGUUAAGCAACGUCGAGCCUGGUCACUAACUAGAUGGGUGACCGCUUGGUAAUACAAGGUGUUGUAA